rnacentral:lncRNA from 1 species
ACCUCAGUCUUUGUGAGGGCUAGUCUAUUUUUGGCCCAUCUUACUUGUAGGAUUCUUUAGGGUUCCCAACUGGUUUAGUUGUUCAUUGCUGUAUCUCAAACCACUUCAAUAUUUGUGGCUUAAAACAAUAGUGAUUUCUGGCAAUUAUCUGGGUCGACUGAACAGUUCUUCAUUUGGUAUUGGCUGGGAUCAUUCGUAAAGCUGCAUUCAGCUGGGCACUUGGCUGGGGCAUUUUAGUAAGUUUUCACAUGGCAUCUCUAUACAAUAUUCCAUCCCCGAGGGCCUCUCCACAUGGCCUAUUUCUCCACUGGGAUAACCUUGACUUAAGCAUGGAGGCUAGAUUCUAACAGGGAGAAAUCCAAAAGUACAAGUCCCAGUGAGCAAGUUCAUAUUUAAUCUUUGUUUGUUUCACCUUUACUAAUGUACUAUUGAUAAAAACAAAUCACAUAAGCCAGAUGCAGUGGUGUACACCUGUACUCUCACCUACUCAGGAGGCUGAGACAGGAGGGUUGCUUGAGGCCAGGAGAUUGAGGAGGGAGUGUGCUAUGAUCACACCUGUGAAUACUGCACUCCAGCCUGGGCAAUGUAGCCAGACCCCCAUCUCUCAAGACACAAACAAAAGAAAACAAAUUAUAUGGCUAAGCCCGAAACCAAUGUGAAGAGGACCACCCAUAGGCAUAAAUCCUGGAAGGUUUGGUUCACUAGCAGCCAGCUAUGUAACAUAUUACCAUAUCAAAUGAAAUCCUAUGGUGCUUACCAGAGUACCUCCUCUUUAAUGGCUCCUGAUCUCCAAUUCUUGUCAUCUCAGCCCUGUAAGCUCUCUUCAGCUUUUGGGCUUCUCAGUUGCUGAUUAGGAAUCAGCAAAAACAUUAAAGGAAAAGCAAUACCAAAUGAUGGGUUCACCUCUCUGUACUUCCUUUCUCUUUGGGAUUGGUCCUUUGAGUUCACGUUUUCUUAGAAACUUUCCAGUGCCUUCAAACUGGUAUUUCCUGUAUUCUUCCCAGCUUUUCUAGUUGUUCUCAGUAGGAGGGAUGGUCUUAAGCAAGCUGAUCUGUAUUGCUGGCUCACAGUGGCCAGGGGAGUAGAAAGAGCUCAAAGAGAAGUGACUGGUUGGGUCCCAGGACUUCUAGUCUCAGAAAAUCCCUCAGUCUCUAGCAGGGCAGGGCAGAGGAGCCCCAGAACCACCUUUCCUCAAAGUACUUUAGCCUAUGCAAGCUUAGACUGUUGUCCUUUCACUGUUAACCAGUAUUAACCAGUUAACCAGUUCUUCUGCAGACAAAAGCAUCAGGAAGUACCCACCAUGUACCAGUGGGCCCUUCUUGAUGCUCUUGAUUGCAGAGGAGCCCUGCAACCUGAAUAAAUCCUCCUGGAAGGUAAGUGGGGGAGCCCUAAUUAAAACUGUAAUUCAAUGUCUCGAUAUUUUGGCAAAUGAAGGUUCAGGUGAGUUUUAAUUAGUUUCAGAAAAAGCAAAGUAAAAUGAUAUUUAAUGUACUGGAUUUUGAUGGAUACAAAUCUAUAUCCAUUAUAUACUAUAUGUUUGUUUUUUCUAAAAAAAAAAAAAAAAAAAAAAAAGGCAACCAGAAAAUUGUCAUCAAUGUUCAUACCUUGAAUACUCUAAUUGAGUAUUGACUUUUUUUGGUAACAGCUUUCUUGAGAUGUAUAAUUUACAUACCAUACAAUUUACCCAUUUAAAAUGUACGAUUCUAGUUUUCAAUGCAUUCACAGAUAUGUGCAACUAUCACUGUUGGCAAUUUCAGAACAUUUUCAUCACCUAAAAGGAAACUCUGUAGCCUUUAGCUAUCACUCUCCCAUUUCCCUGUUUCCCCCAACGCCCCCAGAGAUAAGCAACCACUAAUCUACUUUUGGUCUCUAUAGAUUUGCCUACUCUAGAAAAUUCAUAUAAAUGGAAUCUUAUGUGAUCUUUUGAGUCUGCUUCUUUCACUUAGCAUACCUUUACAAGAUUUAUUCAUGUUGUAGCAUGCAUUAGUACAUCAUUCCAUUUUAUGGCUGAAUAGUAUUCCAUUAUAUGGAUAUUUUGUUUAUCUAUUCAUGAUGGACAUUUGAGUUGUUUCCAACUUUUGGGUAUUAUGAAUGAUGCUAUAAACAUUUAAGUAAAAGUUUUUGUGUAGAUAUAUGUUUUCAUUUCUCUUGGACAUAAACCUAGGACUUGGAUUGCGGGUCAAAUGUUAAUUCUAUAUUUAAUUUUUUGAGGAACUGCCAAAUUGUUUUCCAAUUUUAUAUUCCCACCAGCUGUGUAUGAGGGUUUUGAUUUCUACACAUCUUCUCUAAUACUUAGUAAUAAGUAUUAAGUAUCUGACUUUUUUUUUUUUUGAGAUGGAGUUUUGCUCUUGUUGCCCAGGCUGGAGUGCAAUGGUGUGAUCUUGGCUCACUGUGACCUCUGCCUCCAGGGUUCAAGUGAUUCUCCUGCUUUAGCCUCCUGAGUAGCUGGGAUUACAGGUGCCUGCCACCACGCCUGGCUAAUUUUGUAUUUUUAGUAGAGGUGGGGUUUCUCCAUAUUGUUCAGGCUGGUCUCGAACUCCCAACUUCAGGUCAUCCGCCCGCCUCAGCCUCCCAAAAUACUAGGAUUACAGGUGUGAGCCACUGUGCCCGGUGUUUGUAUUUUUUUUUUUUUUUUUUAGUAGAGGCGGGGUUUCACCGUGUUGGUCAGGCUGGUCUCGAACUCCUGACCUCAAGUGAUUUACCCUCCUUGGCCUCCCAAAGUGCUGGGAUUACAGGCAUGAGCCACCACACCCGGUCAAGUCUUGUCCUUCUUCAGGACAUUUGUUUCUAAAUAUUUUACCUUUUGGUGCUAUUAUAAAUGGAAUUGUUCUCUUAAUUUCACUUUUGAAUUGUUCAUUGCAAGUGUAUAAACAUACAAUUGAAUUUUAUGUAUUGAUUUUGUAACCUGCAACCUUGCUGAAUUUGUUUAUUAUUUAUAAUAGUUUUUGUGAAUUCCUUAGGAUUUUUAAUACGCAAGAUCAUGUUGUUAUCUUGUAUAUUAAUGAUAUAUAAGAUAAUAUAUCUUUCCAAUCUGGUUGUCUUUUAUUUAUUUUUCUUGCCUAAUUGCCCUGACUAGAACCUCCAGUAGAGUGUAGAAUGGAGGUGGUAAGAGCAGCCAUCCAUGUCUUGCUACUGAUCUUAUGGGGAAAAUACCCGGUCUUUCACCAUUGAGAAUGAUGUUAGCUGUGGGUUUUUCAUGGAUGCCUGUAUCAAGUUGAGAGAGGUCUCUUUUGUUCUUUUUUUCCUUAUUAUUAUUUUUUUAUCAUGAAAGGUAUUGGAUCUUUGUCUCCAAAUGCUUUUUCUUCAUCUAUUGAGAUAAUCAUGUCAUUAAAAGAAUUCUGUUGAUAUGAUGUGUUGCAUUAAUUGAUUUUCAGAUAUUAAACCAACCUUGCAUUCCUGGAGUAAAUCCCACUUGGUCGAGGUGUAUAAUUCAUUAUAUAUGGUACUGGGAUUCAGCUUGCUAAUGUUUUCUUUUAAAGCAUAGUGGCCAGGCACGGUGGCUCACGCCUGUAAUCCCAGCACUUUGGUAGGCCGAGGCGGGCGGAUUAUGAGGUCAG